UGGGGAAUAUUGGACAAUGGGCGAAAGCCUGAUCCAGCCAUGCCGCGUGUGUGAAGAAGGUCUUCGGAUUGUAAAGCACUUUAAGUUGGGAGGAAGGGCAUUAACCUAAUACGUUAGUGUUUUGACGUUACCGACAGAAUAAGCACCGGCUAACUCUGUGCCAGCAGCCGCGGUAAUACAGAGGGUGCAAGCGUUAAUCGGAAUUACUGGGCGUAAAGCGCGCGUAGGUGGUUUGUUAAGUUGGAUGUGAAAUCCCCGGGCUCAACCUGGGAACUGCAUUCAAAACUGACUGACUAGAGUAUGGUAGAGGGUGGUGGAAUUU
rnacentral:rRNA from 1 species